GUUGACCUUCCAUGCAAAGAUUCAUGUUUUCUUCGGUAAUUAACUCAGAAAAAAAACUUUAUGGCUGUUUUAUAUAUAUACAUAAAUACCUGGAAUUAUUCUUGAGACGUUAAUUAGACAGAAGAGCAAUGUUAAAAAACAGAGUGGCAAAAAUACGUGAUAUUAAAAUAAAACUAUAUGAACCGAAUGCAGUCAAGUAAUAAUAAUCACUGCAUUAUAUUCAUUCGUUCACCGGAUAGAGCAUAUCCGGUCCUUGAAUAACGCUUGUGAUUAAAGAUACUAUACUAAGCAACUUUCAAGAGGAAAUGUAGAAAAUAUAAAUAACAAUUCAUUUAGAAAAUUAUAAUAUAAUUUUCAAAAUUUCUUUCAUUCGUUACAAUCGCAGAAUUUGAAUAUUCUUAAUAUAAAUGUAUAAUAUGUGCAUGUUCUAAAUUAAAUUUAAUGUUAGUAAAUUAUUUAUUCCAUGACGAAUUUUUAUAAAAGAUAAAAAUAAUUUUAUUUUUCUUGUCUUAUGUAUUACUUUCUUACUGUGAUAUUUUAAUUUUUUUUUGCACGUGGAUUUUCUGCUUCGUAACCGUGCGGAGAUAUUGGAUUUCUAGCAGGAUUAUGAAAUAAGGUAUGCUUGCCAUCACCCCAUGGGAAAGGCUAGGAUGAAAAUAUUUAUAAAUCAUUUAUAUGGACAAGUUUGGUAAUAAAAUUAGUUACAAAAUAUUAUAAAAUUGUCAAUUAUAAAAAAAUAUUCAAAACAAAAAAAGAAAAAAAAAAAUAAAGAAGAGAAAAA